rnacentral:misc_RNA from 1 species
AACGCACAUUGCGCCCGCCAGUAUUCUGACGGGCAUGCCUGUUCGAGCGUCAUUACGACCACCCAAGCCCAGCUUGGUGUUGGGGCACUGCAGUGCAGGCUCCGAAAACCAGUGGCGGAUCUGUUGAAUCCCAAGUGCAGUAAUUUUCUCUCACUUAGGGCAUUUUGACAGGCUCCAGCCGUUAAACUGUCAUUUUUACAAGGUUGACCUCGGAUCAGGUAGGAAUACCCGCUGAACUUAA